CGUGUAUCAGUUGGAGUUCUUGUAGCAAGCACCGUUCGAACUGCAGGUUUGACUGUAGCACCUCUCCCUGUGGUUUCUUCUUCUGCUAUCAUGUCUGACAUGAGCCCCUCCACGCCACUGCUUAUCUAGACGUGAGGCAAGACAUUCUCAAGCUGGUCUUGUACCAGAACGAGGAAGAAAUAUUCGAACUUGCUGUUUCAACUAAUGAUUUUACCUCUUCUGUCCCUUCUUUUAUGCCAUCAUAUCUAACAGUUUCCCUUUUCCUUUUUUGGGUUUUCGCUGUAUGCCCAUUUUUUUAAUCAUGAUGUCAGCGUUUGUAGGCUACUAGGCAGUGUGAGCAUGUGCGCAUGUGCAUAUUCAGGGGUAGCACACAGAUUAAUGAUAUUGACGGUGAAGCAUUUGCCUGUGCCUUCUUCAUUUCAGAACUUCUCGUGCUCUCCGACGUCUCCGUGAACUCAAAUUUCUGACUAUUUCCAUAUAUUAUUGUUGUUGCAUAAUGUUGUGUUAAAUCUGGUGAUACGAUUAUGACAUUUAGUUCCUCUUAAAACAAAUUUUCAUGGUUCACCAUGGCACUAUGGCCUAUAGUUAGCAUUUUUACUGAAAAUUUCUCCAAAAUACAGUCAUACUGAAUCCUUUAUUUUGUGUCUGUCCAUCUGGUUAAUCCUUGGUGAUUUCUCAUGUCUGCAGAUAUUCUAAAUAGUGAUGUGCUACUCUCUUUUUUGACCGGGCUUAUGAGAAAUGCUUCCAGAACCUACACUAUAUGCAGUGAUAUGAAGAACACACAAUUGCUCACGUGAUUCAGGCCAAGUACGAGAAUACAAAGAUUCAAAUGCCGAAGGACUUCGAGCAGAAGUUUUGAUGAACUGUUCAUGAAUUGUACUUAUUGUAGCCUCUUUGUGUUGAGGAGAUGAGGUCAACUCUGCUUGUUCUGGCGAGGGAAGAAGACAGAAGGAAGAGCCAGUGCCAGUCCCUUGUGACCAGUCCCUUGUGCUCAGGUGUGGGAUAUGCGCUGCCGGAAGAGAGGGGAACCAGUAGGUGCUUUGACAGGUCAUUUAGAUGGGAUUAAUAGCCAUGGAGACGGGCGUUAUUUCAUCUCCAAUCGCAGGGAUCAAACUAUUAAACUAUGGGAUGUCAGGAAAAUGUCCUCCACGAUGGACUGCACACCAAAUAAAAGCACAUGAAUGGGAUUACAGGUGGAUGACUUAUCCAUCAAAAGCCCGGUAUUUGAAGCAUCCAUAUAAUCAGUCACUAGCCAAGUUCAGAGGCCAUUCGGUGUUGUGCACACUUAUUCAUUCGGUGCAGUGGAGUAGUUCGGAACCUUCAAUAUGAACGUAGGAAAUAUUUAUCUAAUAUAGUUAUCUACUGGCAUAUUUAAAAGGGACCUCUGGAUUCUGAUCUCAGUUGUGGAAUUUUAUGAUCUUACUAAGCCCAUGUGGCUUUGAUAUUUCGUGGUUGGAUCCAUUAGUAGGAUUUGUCCAGGAUGGAAUUCAGAUCUACAAAUAAUCUCCAUUUUUCUUCUAUCUGAUUCUUUAUUGAAUGCUUAUGGAUUUUGGCUGAUCUAUGUUAGACAUAGUAUCCAGCUUACAGAUGUACGUUAAUUUAUCUAAAAGCAACUGCAUCAAGCUUGUCGUAUUUUAUAACCUCAGUGAAUAGGGCAUCAUCCAAAAAGUUGAUUAUAUGCUCCAUGUUGUGGCAGGUGUGGUCUGCUUAGUUCUGAUAUCCGUGUGCUUAGCUCUUAUCAGUCAAUGUACUUUUGUAACUUGUCACUACGAACAGAAGUCUUCUUAGAACACAUGGAUAUAUGUAACAGUAGUUGAUAGUGGAGGGGUUCCGUAUUUGCUUGGUGCCCAUUGAUAUUUCAAUGGUUAAUUCAAAUGUGGUUCCUGACUUAAGUGUUUGUUAUCUUAUCUUAAAUUAUCCUAUUUUGAGUUACUACUUACUGUUGAUCAGAGUACCUUCCUUUUCAAAAGAAAAAUGGAUUCAUGUUUUCUCCUCAAGUGUUGUUUAGCUUUAAGAAUCCAAAUAUUUUGCCAACAGAUUUGGAAGAAAAGAUAAGAAGAAUAUGCUAGAGUACCAAAAUUUAGAGAAGAAGAUGGACAAGGCGUUAUGUACUUAUGUCAGCCUCUAUUUAUUUUCAUUAUAUAUUUCUAGAUAGGCUGAUACGAGCAUUGAUAAGAGGUCUUCAUUAUACCGAGGUGUGUAAGUUUACUUAUUGAACAUUCCUCAACUAAUUUGAGUAUUUAUUUUUCAUCUGUGCAGAUAUAUCAUAUUACUUGAUUCUGCUCAUUUUGUUAUCGUCUUAAUUCUCUUUUAUCAAUUCAUGCAUGUGAAUGGCUUGUUUUUUUCCCUCUGUUUUGCAUGCAGGCGCCUCUUUUUUCACAUCUGCCAGGACUGCUCAUACAGAUGAACUGAAGAUUUCAAAUUCCCGCUGCGUAGUUGUGUUACCGCACUAGGCAAGUGCACUUGAUGUAUGAUUUGUAUAACACCAUCUGCAUUUGUAUUGUCAUAAGCUCGUGGAUUCUGAAUUAUAACACCAUAUGCAUUUGUAUUGUCGGCCCAACAUAUUGAUC